UACCAGCACCCCGAGUGGUCGGGACGUUUAUUGGGCCUAAAGCAUCCGUAGCCGGUUCUGCAAGUCUUCCGUUAAAUCCACCUGCUUAACAGAUGGGCUGCGGAAGAUACUAUAGGGCUAGGAGGCGGGAGAGGCAAGCGGUACUCAGUGGGUAGGGGUAAAAUCCUCUGAUCCACUGAAGACCACCAGUGGCGAAGGCGGCUUGCCAGAACGCGCUCGACGGUGAGGGAUGAAAGCUGGGGGAGCAAACCGG
rnacentral:rRNA from 1 species